AUUGAACGCUGGCGGCAUGCCUUACACAUGCAAGUCGAACGGCAGCGCGGGAGCAAUCCUGGCGGCGAGUGGCGAACGGGUGAGUAAUAUAUCGGAACGUGCCCAGUAGUGGGGGAUAGCCCGGCGAAAGCCGGAUUAAUACCGCAUACGACCUACGGGUGAAAGGGGGGGAUCGCAAGACCUCUCGCUAUUGGAGCGGCCGAUAUCAGAUUAGGUAGUUGGUGGGGUAAAGGCCCACCAAGCCUACGAUCUGUAGUUGGUCUGAGAGGACGACCAGCCACACUGGGACUGAGACACGGCCCAGACUCCUACGGGAGGCAGCAGUGGGGAAUUUUGGACAAUGGGGGCAACCCUGAUCCAGCAAUGCCGCGUGCAGGAAGAAGGCCUUCGGGUUGUAAACUGCUUUUGUCAGGGAAGAAAUCCCUUGGGUUAAUACCUCGGGGGGAUGACGGUACCUGAAGAAUAAGCACCGGCUAACUACGUGCCAGCCGCCGCGGUAACAC
rnacentral:rRNA from 1 species